GACGAACGCUGGCGGCGUGCUUAACACAUGCAAGUCGAACGGAAAGGCCCUGCUUUUGUGGGGUGCUCGAGUGGCGAACGGGUGAGUAACACGUGAGUAACCUGCCCUUGACUUUGGGAUAACUUCAGGAAACUGGGGCUAAUACCGGAUAGGAGCUCCUGCUGCAUGGUGGGGGUUGGAAAGUUUCGGCGGUUGGGGAUGGACUCGCGGCUUAUCAGCUUGUUGGUGGGGUAGUGGCUUACCAAGGCUUUGACGGGUAGCCGGCCUGAGAGGGUGACCGGCCACAUUGGGACUGAGAGACGGCCCAGACGCCUACGGUAGGCAGCAGUGGGGAAUAUUGCACAAUGGGCGGAAGCCUGAUGCAGCAACGCCGCGUGCGGGAUGACGGCCUUCGGGUUGUAAACCGCUUUCGCCUGUGACGAAGCGUGAGUGACGGUAAUGGGUAAAGAAGCACCGGCUAACUACGUG
rnacentral:rRNA from 1 species